AGUCAACUGAAUAUUCCUCCAGGUGGCGGCAGAGUGGACUUUGUGGAGCUGAUGUUGGCAGGUACAGCAGACAUGAUAGGAGUGGAGGAGCUCAGGGAUGCUUUCAGAGAGCUGCUGAACAUGCUACAACCACGAAAGACAUUGUGACUUCUGGGGAACACAACCAGAGACUCACUGAUGAACUAUUCUCCACAGAAUGAUCGAGUGACUUCAAAAGAGAGACAACAACGACAUACAAGCGCGGAGCAGAACAAGGGGAACCCAAGAGCAGUCUCAGACGAGGAAAUUGGGAUGAAAUAACCAAGGUAU